rnacentral:rRNA from 1 species
GACGAACGCUGGCGGCGUGCUUAACACAUGCAAGUCGAACGGUGAAGCUCCAGCUUUCUGGUGUGGAUUAGUGGCGAACGGGUGAGUAACACGUGAGCAACCUGCCCCUGACUCUGGAAUAAGCGCUGGAAACGGCGGCUAAUACUGGAUACGAGAAGGGUCCGCAUGGGCACUUUCUGGAAAGUUUUUCGGUUGGGGAUGGGCUCGCGGCCUAUCAGCUUGUUGGUGAGGUAAUGGCUCACCAAGGCGACGACGGGUAGCCGGCCUGAGAGGGCGACCGGCCACACUGGGACUGAGACACGGCCCAGACUCCUACGGGAGGCAGCAGUGGGGAAUAUUGCACAAUGGGCGAAAGCCUGAUGCAGCGACGCCGCGUGAGGGAUGACGGCCUUCGGGUUGUAAACCUCUUUCAGCAGGGAAGAAGCGAAAGUGACGGUACCUGCAGAAGAAGCACCGGCUAACUACGUG